UGGGGAAUUUUGCGCAAUGGGCUAACGCCUGACGCAGCAACGCCGCGUGGAGGAUGAAGGUCUUUGGAUUGUAAACUCCUGUCAGCAGGGAAAAAGGGACCGUAGCGAAUACCUACGGGACUUGAUUGUACCUGCAGAGGAAGCCCCGGCUAACUCUGUGCCAGCAGCCGCGGUAAUACAGAGGGGGCAAGCGUUAUUCGGAAUUAUUGGGCGUAAAGGGCGCGUAGGCGGCUUUGCAAGCGACGGGUGAAAUCCCUCGGCUUAACCGAGGAACUGCCUGUCGAACUGCAUGGCUCGAGACCAGGAGAGGUGAGUGGAAUUCCCAGUGUAGCGGUGAAAUGCGUAGAUAUUGGGAGGAACACCAGUGGCGAAGGCGGCUCACUGGACUGGUACUGACGCUGAGGCGCGAAAGCGUGGGGAGCAAACAGG
rnacentral:rRNA from 1 species